rnacentral:rRNA from 1 species
GACGAACGCUGGCGGCGUGCUUAACACAUGCAAGUCGAACGGAAAGGCCCUGCUUUUGUGGGGUGCUCGAGUGGCGAACGGGUGAGUAACACGUGAGUAACCUGCCCUUGACUUUGGGAUAACUUCAGGAAACUGGGGCUAAUACCGGAUAGGAGCUCCUGCUGCAUGGUGGGGGUUGGAAAGUUUCGGCGGUUGGGGAUGGACUCGCGGCUUAUCAGCUUGUUGGUGGGGUAGUGGCUUACCAAGGCUUUGACGGGUAGCCGGCCUGAGAGGGUGACCGGCCACAUUGGGACUGCGAUACGGCCCAGAGUCCUACGGGAGGCAGCAGUGGGGAAUAUUGCACAAUGGGCGGAAGCCUGAUGCAGCAACGCCGCGUGCGGGAUGACGGCCUUCGGGUUGUAAACCGCUUUCGCCUGUGACGAAGCGUGAGUGACGGUAAUGGGUAAAGAAGCACCGGCUAACUACGUG